UACGUAGGGGCCUAGCGUUGUCCGGAAUUAUUGGGCGUAAAGAGCUCGUAGGCGGUUCGGCAAGUCGGAUGUGAAAUCUCCACGCUUAACGUGGAGGGGCCAUUCGAAACUGCUGUGACUCGAGUCCGGUAGGGGAGUGUGGAAUUCCCGGUGUAGCGGUGAAAUGCGCAGAUAUCAGGAGGAACACCGGUGGCGAAGGCGGUGGGCUGGGCCGGUACUGACGCUGAGGAGCGAAAGCGUGGGGAGCGAACAGG
rnacentral:rRNA from 1 species